AUGCAGCAUGGUGUAAAUAAGAACACGACUAUAGAAGUGAAUAGCCUAAUGUAGCAUGAGGUAAUAAUACGACUAAAGUAGUGAAUAGGGUAAUAAAGCAUGGGUUGAUAACAUGUCUGUUCGGGUCGGAUUAGCUCUGGAGGUAGAGCAGUUGCCUUGUAACCGAAAGCUUGCUAGUUCGAUCCCCAGCUCCUCCUAGCUGAGUGACCCUAACUGCUCCUGACGAGCUGGCUCUCGCCUUGCAUGGUUGAAUCUGCCGUUGGUGUCAUUGUGUGUACCGAUGUAAAUCGCUUUGGAUUAUAGGGUCUGCUUAAUGCCCUAAUUGUAAUGACUAUGGUAGUGAACAGCCCAGAGCAACAUGGUGUAAUAAUAUGACUAUAAUAUAACUAUCAGUAGACUAUAGUACUACUAUGACUAUAAUAGUACUAUAGUGUUAUUAUGUGCAGCAAGGUGAAGUGAAGAGCCCAUGCAGCGGUGGGCGGUGUAUCCCUCCGCGGUCCGCUUGGACCCAGAUAUUCGAAUUAAUAAAAAAGGAGAUCGAGCAAGCAGCGGAACGGGUCUGCCCGGUCUGUGGCUCAUGCAGCGAGGCGGGAUACUCCUGUUGGGCUCCUCCCAGCACCCACAGGUGGGUCCCGCCUCGCAGGUGGAGUCCAGCAGAUGAGUGGCGCUUUAACCCGUCAGAGCACCGGAGACCCGCGAGUGACAGCACGGACCCACGGAGCGACAGGAUGUCUAAAAAGGAACCGAGCCCCGUGAAGAUCACCAAGACGCAGGCAUCCGACCUGACGGUGGUGAUCGCUCGCAUGCAACGCAACGCCGACCAGGUGGAGAAGAACAUACUGCAGUCAGAAGAGCUUCUGGCAGAGGUAACACACACAGAUUAUAUUCAUGCAGACAUAUGUAAAUGCACACAAACACACACACACACACAUACGCACGCACGCACGCACGCACACACAAAGACACACGCACACAUACACAAAACAAACAUACAUUCACACAGACACUCACAAUGCACACAAUACAUACACACAGCACACACAGCACCAAAUACAUACACACACAAAACAAACAUACAUUUGCACAUACACAGACACACACGUGCGCACCAGCCGCCGAUUCCGAUAAACUAGGUUCAGUGGUGAUAGUCGUAUGAUUCAAGCCAAUUAAGCGAAAGGAAACCAUAUCACCUGUCAUAUGUCCAUCAUGAGACCAGAUAGACCGGUCCGGUUCUCCAGGCUGCGACCGGUUCCUCCACAGAACCAUCGCUGAGCCCUGACUCAUGAGAGUGACAGAGCUCCUCUGGGAAAAUCAUUUCCCUUCCCUACCGUUGAUCAUCACGGAGCACUGGUCCAGCCUGUGUUCGUGCCUGUGUGUGUAUGUGUGUGUGUGUCUGUAUAAACGUGCGUAUUUAUGUGUGUGUGUGUGUGUGUGUGUGUGUGUGUGUGUGUGUGUGUGUGUGUGUGUG
ensembl:lncRNA